rnacentral:rRNA from 1 species
CCCUUAGACGUUCUGGGCCGCACGCGCGCUACACUGACCAGUGCAACAAGCAUCCGUCCUUGGCCGACAGGCCCGGGCAAUCUUUGAACGCUAGUCGUGAUGGGGAUAGACUUUUGCAAUUUUUGGUCUUCAACGAGGAAUUCCUAGUAAACGCAAGUCAUCAACUUGCAUUGAUUACGUCCCUGCCCUUUGUACACACCGCCCGUCGCACCUACCGAUUGAAUGGUCCGGUGAAGCCUCCGGAUUGGCGCGCACCUCGGUGCCGCCGAGAAGUUGGCUAAACCUUACCAUUUAGAGGAAGGUGAAGUCGUAACA